rnacentral:rRNA from 1 species
AAGGGCACCACAAGAACGCGUGGAGCAUGUGGCUUAAUUUGACUCAACACGAGAAAUCUUACCGGGUCCGGACACACUGAGGAUUGACAGGUAUUAUCAAUAAUUAUUUUUACAUUUUUAUGUUAAAAAUUCAAUUAUUGUGUUAAAUAUGCUAGUCCUUUCAUGAUUAUGUGAUAGGUGGUGCAUGGCCGUUCUUAGUUCGUGGAGUGAUCUGUCUGCUUAAUUGCGUUUCACUAAGGGCUUAAAAUUAUGUGCUUUAAUAUUGACCCCUCAAUUUUUAAUUGAGUGUGUUGUCUUUAUUGGUACUUCUAAGCUCUGAAAGCAACGAACGUGACCGCAACCCUUUGUUGCCUUUACUAAAAUUUUAUUUUUUUUAUAAAAUAUAAUUAAAAAAGGCUUUUUAAACUAGGGGGACCGCUGUAAUCUUUUUAAACCAGAGGAAGGUUGCGGCAAUAACAGGUCUGUGAUGCCCUUAGAUGUUCCGGGCUGCACACGUGCUACAAUGAUUUUUGCAGUGAGCAUCUCAUUUUUAAUACAUCGCUUGCAUGAUGCUUUAUAUUUAAAUUUAUUUUUAUUUAUUUUGUUCAUUUUUGCGCGAUAAAGCCUGCCUCGAAAGUAAGUGGGUAAUCAAUUAGAAGUAAAGAUUUCCAAAUUUUAUAGCACAAAUAUAUACGGCAUUUUUACCCGGCUUUUUCAUUUCGAAUUAGUUUUGUGUGUAUUAAUGAGUUUCUUUGUAUAGUUUGUCUUUUAUGGCAUUCUUAUACAGUACUUUAUCGUAUGUGCAAUUGUCAAUUCAUGGUGGGGACAGACCAUUGUUAAUUGUUGGUCUCGNUUUCAACUAGGAAUGCCUUGUACGGAUCUUUGGUUCAACAAACCAUCCGGAAUACNUCCCUGCCCUUUGUACACACCGCCCGUCGCUCUUACCGAUAGACUUCUCUGUGAGUUUGAGGGACUGGAUAACUUAUACUUCUAUGGAAACUUAAACGAACAGUGUGGUCCAAAGGAAAGAGAAGUCGAACAAGGCA